CCUCAUUUUUCAACAUACAUCAUUGUUUAGCUCCCUGACAUCAAGUUAUGGAGGCAGCGACCCUUUUGAACCGAAUCAUCUUUGAAUUCAUAAAAACAAAAAAAAAAAACAAAAAAAAAAAACAUCUCAUUAAAAUAGCCUUAUAUCCAUAAAAAAAUCCACCAAAGACACACACACGAAGCAUCAUAAAUGGAUUCAAAGAAAAGGAAUUACCAAAAAAAAUUUAACUCCUCAAUAGUGGACAGAAAAAAAAUACAUCGAACAUGGAAUUGAAGAAUUUUGUUUUUGCAAAAUUCAACUUUCAUCAUAUGAAAAAAGAAAAAAAAUUAUAAUCAAAUAAUGCUUAAAAUAACCAUAGACAACAUCCUAAAUAAUUAAUGUAGAAUUGAAAUUACACUAAUAAAAUUAUGCACAUCCAAGAAAAACCGAUCAAUCACCACCAACUUCAUAUUCUCUGGAUUAACUCGAGCAAGCUGAUUUUUUUCUUCUCUUGUAAAAUCAUAUUUCCGGAAAACCACAAUUGAAAAAUUGUGUCCGUAUGAAGUGGAGAGAAAGAAAAGAAUAACAGAGAAGAAAGUGGGUGACAAUGGAGACGAUGAAGAACUGGAAAAAGUGGGGAUUUAUGUGUGUGUCAAGUAGAAAAGAAAACGAAAUGAAAACGGAAUAAAAUAGCAGAGGGAGAAGUGGGUGAAAGAUGAAGCGCCGAAUAAUUUCAAAUAAUUAACUUACAAAGGAAAAGAAAACUUACCUUAUAACGUGGCUGAAGAAACGGAACAAAGUAGAAUUAUAAAACAAAAACCCACACCAGGAAUUGAAUAAACCGUCAGAGGAUUGAAUAAACGUGGAGAGAAAGCAGGGAGUGGAGAAGGGAAAAGAAAACA
rnacentral:lncRNA from 1 species